UGGGGAAUAUUGGACAAUGGGGGAAACCCUGAUCCAGCGAUGCCGCGUGUGUGAAGAAGGCCUGCGGGUUGUAAAGCACUUUUAUCGGGGAGGAUUGCCCUGCUUUUUAAUAGAGAGCGGGGUUGACGUUACCCGAAGAAACAGCACCGGCUAACUCUGUGCCAGCAGCCGCGGUAAUACAGAGGGUGCAAGCGUUAAUCGGAAUUAUUGGGCGUAAAGGGCGCGUAGGUGGUUAGAUAAGUGGUGGGUGAAAGGCCUGGGCUCAACCUAGGGAUUGCCUACCAGACUGUUUAGCUUGAGUACAGUAGAGGGAAGUGGAAUUUCCGGAGUAGCGGUGAAAUGCGUAGAUACCGGAAGGAACACCAGUGGCGAAGGCGACUUCCUGGACUGAUACUGACACUGAGGCGCGAAAGCGUGGGGAGCGAACAGGAUUAGAUACCCCCGUAGUCC
rnacentral:rRNA from 1 species